GUGAUCUGGCAGAAACUGAGGUAGCCCAGGGCAACCACCAGGCAGUACCUGUGAACACAGAGUUCAGGGAUCUUUAAUGUGGAUUUAUUCACUUGUCAUAAUGCAUUAGCAUAACAUUAGCAAUUCACUACAAUUUAUUAUCAGAUCACUUCCAGAAUUCAAGUCCAUAUGCAUAGCCCUACUUCUAAUAGCAGGACCCCAGAGCUUAAUACAUAACUUCACUGGCAUUGUUGAAGAAUUAUGUAUCAUCUGUCUAAAUUCAUGCUUCAUGCAGUAGCAGGUCCCACGAAGCUACUGGGGGAAAAGACACAUGGAGCUGAGGAAAAUGUAAAGGGCAUUUCACCAUAGACUAGUGAUAUGUCCUCCAUUCAACACAUGUAGUGGUGGGUAUUACCUGAAUGGACACAAGUCUAUGUAUUUGUUUGGGUGUUGUUUGUAUUUGAGUUUGGGUGUGCAGUGGCCUUGAGUGUGUACGUGCACGAGUGCUCACACAUGGUUAAGUACUACUUUUACUUUAGGCCUAUAGAUAAUGAGCUUACAGGCACUGAUCACAAAAGCCACACAAAUCCACAUACCCCUUUAACUAGAGCCGUUAACACCCUUGGGUGAAACCUAUAGGCCCCACAAGAAGCAGGCCCCUCAGUGUAAACGACCAGAGUUAUAUCAUGGAAGUCGCUCAGACUCAGACCCAUUACUUGGCUUCAGUGCAUACUGGCUCUCAAAAGCUUUGUUACCAGGACAGGACCACAGCUAAAUCAUAAAUCACACUGUAAGAAUAAAACUGAUGGUUCUGUGAAUAUAUUGGCCAUUGGGUUCUUGUCUAACAGCAUCAACACAGAAGAAGCAAUGUGUAGGUACACAUUCCUGCAGUCUUACAGUCAGUCUACUUAAGAGCUCCUUCAACACAUCUUCAAGCAUGGUCUCCACGCCCAUAUUGAUAACUUGGUGACCCUCGUCUGUGUGUUGGCAUCGGGGUUUAAGCUGUGGUUUUGAUUGGCCAUUAAGAGUUCUGUUGGCCUUGUAUGGAACUCUGGCUCUCCUCGAUUUCAGUGGUGUGGCUGGACACGGGCAAAAGGGGUGAUGUUAACUUUGAGGGAGAGUCUGAUGGAGAUGGA